rnacentral:rRNA from 1 species
AUUGAACGCUGGCGGCCAGGCCUAACACAUGCAAGUCGAACGGUAACAGGAAACAGCUUGCUGUUUCGCUGACGAGUGGCGGACGGGUGAGUAAUGUCUGGGAAACUGCCUGAUGGAGGGGGAUAACUACUGGAAACGGUAGCUAAUACCGCAUAACGUCGCAAGACCAAAGAGGGGGACCUUCGGGCCUCUUGCCAUCGGAUGUGCCCAGAUGGGAUUAGCUAGUAGGUGGGGUAACGGCUCACCUAGGCGACGAUCCCUAGCUGGUCUGAGAGGAUGACCAGCCACACUGGAACUGAGACACGGUCCAGACUCCUACGGGAGGCAGCAGUGGGGAAUAUUGCACAAUGGGCGCAAGCCUGAUGCAGCCAUGCCGCGUGUAUGAAGAAGGCCUUCGGGUUGUAAAGUACUUUCAGCGGGGGGGAAGGGAGUAAAGUUAAUACCUUUGCUCAUUGACGUUACCCGCAGAAGAAGCACCGGCUAACUCCGUGCCAGCAGCCGCGGUAAUACGGAGGGUGCAAGCGUUAAUCGGAAUUACUGGGCGUAAAGCGCACGCAGGCGGUUUGUUAAGUCAGAUGUGAAAUCCCCGGGCUCAACCUGGGAACUGCAUCUGAUACUGGCAAGCUUGAGUCUCGUAGAGGGGGGUAGAAUUCCAGGUGUAGCGGUGAAAUGCGUAGAGAUCUGGAGGAAUACCGGUGGCGAAGGCG